AGCGAACGCUAGCGGCGCGCCUAACACAUGCAAGUCGCACGAGAAAGGGCUUCGGCCCCGGUAAAGUGGCGCACGGGUGAGUAACACGUGGGCAACCUGCCCAACCCUGGGGGAUAACCUGCCGAAAGGCGGGCUAAUACCGCGUACGAGGGCUCGGCUUCGGUCGGGUUCUGAAAGCAGGCCUCUGUAUACAAGCUUGUGGGGUUGGAUGGGCCCGCGCUCCAUCAGCUAGUUGGUGAGGUAACGGCUAACCAAGGCUACGACGGAUAGCUGGUCUGUGAGGAUGAUCAGCCACACUGGAACUGAGACACGGUCCAGACUCCUACGGGAUGCAGCAGUGGGGAAUCUUGCGCAAUGGACGACAGUCUGACGCAGCGACGCCGCGUGGGUGACGAAGGCCUUCGGGUUGUAAAGCCCUGUGGGGUGAGACGAACAGCUGGGGUUCAAAUAGGGCCUUGGUCUGACGGUAUCACCUUAGCAAGCACCGGCUAACUCUGUGCCAGCAGCCGCCGCGGUAA
rnacentral:rRNA from 1 species